rnacentral:piRNA from 1 species
UGAAAAAAAUGAGUGCAUUCCCAAUGUCA